UUUUGACAUUGCUGUUAUUUUCUCUUUCCAGGUACCCCAAAGACAGGUGGUGGCUGAACUCAGAGCAACUGGCUCAUGGCAACCCCCAGCAAACCCUAGCCGGAGUUCCUCACCUGCAGAGCAGCGAGCAGAAGGGAAAGCUGGACCAGAACCGACAGGUUGGCCACCCUGCUGCACUCACCCUCUGUCAAACUCGGCCACGUCCCUCAGCUGUCCCCGGUGUUCAAAACCCACUGCUGGGAGACAACAGGAAAGAUGAAACACUCAGCAUCCUCACCAGUCCCUGAGGAGGAGAGAUGGCUAGCAGACACCAGCACCCUUUCUGGACCAAGAUGAUGAUGUGUCAAGGUACAAAAGUGUGCUAGGUUCAGAGAUUUUUGCCUAAAUAGCUGUAAUUUCCAGCAUGGGAUGGGGGCCAAAGGGAAUCCACCGAGGCAAUCAGGCUCUCCAGCAGCCUGGCAGCUCCUUGGUCCACAAUGGAAAUUAAUCACUGAACUCAGGGAAGCACACCUUAAAUGAAAAAAACAAACACCACCGACUUUGUUGAGGCAUCACCUUAAAUGGAAAAAAUCAAACGCCACAACUAUGCACGUCCAGCCUGUUGAAAUGACAGUGUAAUUAAAACUUAAUGAAAAGCGCCAUUUAUCAAUGAGUUUUAUUAACCUUGUCUAAAACCAUUUGGACAAAUUAAAACUCCUCUUGGUCUUUUCCUGCCAGGCUAAAAGCUGCGAGUCACGAAACAAAUCAAUAAUGCUGGCCACAUUGGUUCUUUGUUCGGGGCAGAAGAAAGCUCUGCUGCUGGAAAGCUUCAGCUGGCACAGCUUCAGCCACUGUGACACUGCUCCUGGCCCCUGCCAGGGCCCCUGCUGGCCAGCCCAAAAGACAUUGCCAGGGUGCUUACAUGGGCACAUAAAGAAUGCUCCCAAAAGCCUA